rnacentral:rRNA from 1 species
GGGUUGUGAGGUUAAGCGACUAAGCGUACACGGUGGAUGCCCUGGCAGUCAGAGGCGAUGAAGGACGUGCUAAUCUGCGAUAAGCGUCGGUAAGGUGAUAUGAACCGUUAUAACCGGCGAUUUCCGAAUGGGGAAACCCAGUGUGAUUCGUCACACUAUCAUUAACUGAAUCCAUAGGUUAAUGAGGCGAACCGGGGGAACUGAAACAUCUAAGUACCCCGAGGAAAAGAAAUCAACCGAGAUUCCCCCAGUAGCGGCGAGCGAACGGGGAGSAGCCCAGAGCCUGAAUCAGUGUGUGUGUUAGUGGAAGCGUCUGGAAAGGCGCGCGAUACAGGGUGACAGCCCCGUACACAAAAAUGCACAURCUGUGAGCUCGAUGAGUAGGGCGGGACACGUGGUAUCCUGUCUGAAUAUGGGGGGACCAUCCUCCAAGGCUAAAUACUCCUGACUGACCGAUAGUGAACCAGUACCGUGAGGGAAAGGCGAAAAGAACCCCGGCGAGGGGAGUGAAAAAGAACCUGAAACCGUGUACGUACAAGCAGUGGGAGCACGCUUCGGCGUGUGACUGCGUACCUUUUGUAUAAUGGGUCAGCGACUUAUAUUCUGUAGCAAGGUUAACCGAAUAGGGGAGCCGAAGGGAAACCGAGUCUUAACUGGGCGUUAAGUUGCAGGGUAUAGACCCGAAACCCGGUGAUCUAGCCAUGGGCAGGUUGAAGGUUGGGUAACACUAACUGGAGGACCGAACCGACUAAUGUUGAAAAAUUAGCGGAUGACUUGUGGCUGGGGGUGAAAGGCCAAUCAAACCGGGAGAUAGCUGGUUCUCCCCGAAAGCUAUUUAGGUAGCGCCUCGUGAAUUCAUCUCCGGGGGUAGAGCACUGUUUCGGCAAGGGGGUCAUCCCGACUUACCAACCCGAUGCAAACUGCGAAUACCGGAGAAUGUUAUCACGGGAGACACACGGCGGGUGCUAACGUCCGUCGUGAAGAGGGAAACAACCCAGACCGCCAGCUAAGGUCCCAAAGUCAUGGUUAAGUGGGAAACGAUGUGGGAAGGCCCAGACAGCCAGGAUGUUGGCUUAGAAGCAGCCAUCAUUUAAAGAAAGCGUAAUAGCUCACUGGUCGAGUCGGCCUGCGCGGAAGAUGUAACGGGGCUAAACCAUGCACCGAAGCUGCGGCAGCGACACUAUGUGUUGUUGGGUAGGGGAGCGUUCUGUAAGCCUGUGAAGGUGURCUGUGAGGYAUGCUGGAGGUAUCAGAAGUGCGAAUGCUGACAUAAGUAACGAUAAAGCGGGUGAAAAGCCCGCUCGCCGGAAGACCAAGGGUUCCUGUCCAACGUUAAUCGGGGCAGGGUGAGUCGACCCCUAAGGCGAGGCCGAAAGGCGUAGUCGAUGGGAAACAGGUUAAUAUUCCUGUACUUGGUGUUACUGCGAAGGGGGGACGGAGAAGGCUAUGUUGGCCGGGCGACGGUUGUCCCGGUUUAAGCGUGUAGGCUGGUUUUCCAGGCAAAUCCGGAAAAUCAAGGCUGAGGCGUGAUGACGAGGCACUACGGUGCUGAAGCAACAAAUGCCCUGCUUCCAGGAAAAGCCUCUAAGCAUCAGGUAACAUCAAAUCGUACCCCAAACCGACACAGGUGGUCAGGUAGAGAAUACCAAGGCGCUUGAGAGAACUCGGGUGAAGGAACUAGGCAAAAUGGUGCCGUAACUUCGGGAGAAGGCACGCUGAUAUGUAGGUGAAGCGACUYSCUCGUGGAGCUGAAAUCAGUCGAAGAUACCAGCUGGCUGCAACUGUUUAUUAAAAACACAGCACUGUGCAAACACGAAAGUGGACGUAUACGGUGUGACGCCUGCCCGGUGCCGGAAGGUUAAUUGAUGGGGUUAGCGSWAACGCGAAGCUCUUGAUCGAAGCCCCGGUAAACGGCGGCCGUAACUAUAACGGUCCUAAGGUAGCGAAAUUCCUUGUCGGGUAAGUUCCGACCUGCACGAAUGGCGUAAUGAUGGCCAGGCUGUCUCCACCCGAGACUCAGUGAAAUUGAACUCGCUGUGAAGAUGCAGUGUACCCGCGGCAAGACGGAAAGACCCCGUGAACCUUUACUAUAGCUUGACACUGAACAUUGAGCCUUGAUGUGUAGGAUAGGUGGGAGGCUUUGAAGUGUGGACGCCAGUCUGCAUGGAGCCGACCUUGAAAUACCACCCUUUAAUGUUUGAUGUUCUAACGUUGRCCCGUKAUCCGGGUUGCGGACAGUGUCUGGUGGGUAGUUUGACUGGGGCGGUCUCCUCCUAAAGAGUAACGGAGGAGCACGAAGGUUGGCUAAUCCUGGUCGGACAUCAGGAGGUUAGUGCAAUGGCAUAAGCCAGCUUGACUGCGAGCGUGACGGCGCGAGCAGGUGCGAAAGCAGGUCAUAGUGAUCCGGUGGUUCUGAAUGGAAGGGCCAUCGCUCAACGGAUAAAAGGUACUCCGGGGAUAACAGGCUGAUACCGCCCAAGAGUUCAUAUCGACGGCGGUGUUUGGCACCUCGAUGUCGGCUCAUCACAUCCUGGGGCUGAAGUAGGUCCCAAGGGUAUGGCUGUUCGCCAUUUAAAGUGGUACGCGAGCUGGGUUUAGAACGUCGUGAGACAGUUCGGUCCCUAUCUGCCGUGGGCGCUGGAGAACUGAGGGGGGCUGCUCCUAGUACGAGAGGACCGGAGUGGACGCAUCACUGGUGUUCGGGUUGUCAUGCCAAUGGCACUGCCCGGUAGCUAAAUGCGGAAGAGAUAAGUGCUGAAAGCAUCUAAGCACGAAACUUGCCCCGAGAUGAGUUCUCCCUGACUCCYUGAGAGUCCUGAAGGAACGUUGAAGACGACGACGUUGAUAGGCCGGGUGUGUAAGCGCAGCGAUGCGUUGAGCUAACCGGUACUAAUGAACCGUGAGGCUUAACCUUACAACGCCGAAG